CACGUAGGGGGCAAGCGUUGUCCGGAUUUAUUGGGCGUAAAGAGCUCGUAGGCGGUUCGGUAAGUUGGGUGUGAAACCUCCAGGCUCAACCUGGAGACGCCACCCGAUACUGCUGUGACUAGAGUCCGGUAGGGGAGCGUGGAAUUCCUGGUGUAGCGGUGAAAUGCGCAGAUAUCAGGAGGAACGCCAGCGGCGAAGGCGGCGCUCUGGGCCGGAACUGACGCUGAGGAGCGAAAGCGUGGGUAGCAAACAGG
rnacentral:rRNA from 1 species